rnacentral:tRNA from 1 species
GUCCAGGGAUGUGAAUCGAACCCACAGUGUUCCGCUUACCGGGCAGAUGCCAUGUCCACUAGGCUACCCUGGA